rnacentral:rRNA from 1 species
CCUACGGGGGGCAGCAGUGAGGAAUAUUGGUCAAUGGUCGGGAGACUGAACCAGCCAAGCCGCGUGAGGGAUGAAGGUACAGAGUAUCGUAAACCUCUUUUGUCAGGGAACAAAGGCGGGGACGUGUCCCCGGAUGAGUGUACCUGAGGAAAAAGCAUCGGCUAACUCCGUGCCAGCAGCCGCGGUAAUACGGAGGAUGCGAGCGUUAUCCGGAUUUAUGGGGUUUAAAGGGUGCGCAGGCGGUCUGUUAAGUCAGCGGUCAAAGCCCGGGGCUCAACCCGGGCCCGCCGUUGAAACUGGCAGUCUCGAGUUGGAGAGAAGUAUGCGGAAUGCGCGGUGUAGCGGUGAAAUGCAUAGAUAUCGCGCAGAACUCCGAUUGCGAAGGCAGCAUGCCGGCUCCACACUGACGCUGAGGCACGAAAGCGUGGGUAUCGAACAGGAUUGGAUACCCCAGUAGUC